rnacentral:lncRNA from 1 species
GGCGACCGCUCCUUGCCGACGGGUGCAAAUUCAAGUUUCUCUGGACGCUGCCUGGAAAAAACUGCCUCUGGACCACGGGUUUGCUGCUCGCCGCCGCUGUCCCGCCGCCGAAUUCCCCAGCGCUCAGGGAGAUGCACUUAGCUUUUUUUUUUUUCUUUGAGGGGGGAGGAGGGAGCUGUUAUAAGCAUUUCGUGUAGUAUCUUUAAACAAAGUGCUACCUUUCUAAAACGUAGUGUUUGCUUUUGUUUGGGUCUGGAGGGAAAAAUGAUUCCCAGCACAACUAUUUCGAGCGGUUUGCCAUAAAAAAGAAGAGAAUUUGAAUGAAGAGUGGGACAUGGCUUUCUCUUUAAGAGGUUGCUUCAUCCUGAGAGUCGGCUGGGGGACUCUCGAAAGGAAAUCGGAAAGAAAAGGGAAAUCUCAAGGAAAAGGAAAUACCCUCUAGGGAAAGGAGGCUGCUGAAGAAAUGUGGAAUACUAAGGUGUGUGUGGUUCUUUCACCUGCAGAGAUUAGAACAUGAAAUCUCUGCUAUGGAAGUUAGAGUCUCCAAAGAUGAUCCUUCCAAUGAAUCAGGCUUACCUGGAUUCACACCUUUGUGUAGUCCAUCUCUAUUCUGACCUGGCCCUGUGAUUCAUUUGUAACCAGUAAAUGUGGUAGAAGUGUGAUACUACGUGAUACCCAAGACUAGGUGAGAAGAAGCCUUAGAGCAUUCACCUUGGACUCCUGAAACAUUCUGGAAACUCUGAACCGCCAUAUAAGAAAGCUAACUACCCAGAGAGCACCAUGCUGGAGAGGCCAUAGGUAGGCAUUCCAGCCAACAGUCCCACUGGACUCCAACCUUCCAGUCAUCCCCACCUAGGGACCCAGACAUGUAAGUGAGGCCAUCUUGAACUGUCCAGAUCAGCACAACCACCAGUUAAAUACCACUGAGUAAUCUCAGUUGAGACACUCUGGAACAGAAGAAUCAUCCCGCUGAGCCCUGCCCAAAUUCCUGGCCCAUAAAAUCCUGAGCUAUAAUAAAAUGUUAUUGUUUUAAGCUGCUC